AACGUCACUUGUGGGGCAGAAAAUGGAGUUUAAGACCCCUACAAAGUCACUUAUGGGGCAGAAAACGGACUCAAAAAGCCCCAAAAAGUCACUUAUGGGGCAGAAAAUGGACUCAGAAAGCCCCAAAAUGUCACUUGUGGGGCAGGAAACGGACCCGAGAGGCCCCUAAAAAGGCACUUGUGGGGCAGAAAAUGGACUCAGAAACCCCAACAAUGUCACUUGUGGGGCAGAAGAUGAGAUCUGAGACCCCAAAAACGUCACUUGUGGGGCAGAAAAUGGAGUUUAAGAUCCCUACAAAGUCACUUAUGGGGCAGAAAAUGGACUCAGAAAGCCCCAAAAUGUCACUUGUGGGGCAGCAAACGGAGCCUGAGAGGCCCCUAAAAAGGCACUUGUGGGGCAGAAGAUGAAAUUUCAGGCCCCUAAAAAGUCACUUGUGGGGCAGAAAAU